rnacentral:rRNA from 1 species
UACGAAGGGGGCGAGCGUUGUUCGGAUUUACUGGGCGUAAAGGGCGCGUAGGCAGCCCUUCAAGUCAGGCGUGAAAGCCCCGGGCUCAACCUGGGAGGUGCGCUUGGGACUGGAGGGCUGGAGUUCGGGAGAGGAGCGUGGAAUUCCCAGUGUAGAGGUGAAAUUCGUAGAUAUUGGGAAGAACACCGGUGGCGAAGGCGGCGCUCUGGACCGAGACUGACGCUGAGGCGCGAAAGCGUGGGGAGCGAACAGG